CCCCCCUCUCUCUCUCUCUUAUCUCUCUUUGCUCCCGAUCCGAUCCAGAGCUCACCGGUGCCCUUGCCCCGACCUCGCUGGCCAACACGUCAUGGGAUCCUCCCAUGGCGCCCCGUUCCCGAGCUCCUCUCCUCCGGGCCCGCGCCCUGGCUGGCUAGCUUGCUGCUCGACCGGAGCUCGCUAGAGGAAGCCGGCGACCAGGCCAGCCGCACGUCGCCGGCCCCGGUCCCGUCCACGUCGCCUCGGCGACUAGGCCAGCCACACCUCGCCGGCCCCGUCUCCUCGCGCGCCUCGCCAGCCCCGACCCCAUCGCUGUUGCCGGCCCCGGCCCCGACCGCAUCGCCCUCGCCCCCGCCGGCCUCGACAGCAUCGCCCCCGCCCCCUGCCGGCCCCGGCACCACCCCCCGCCGCCUUGCGUGCUGCACUGCACCGGCCACCGCUAGCCGUGCCGGCCAUGGGGUCACUUCCAGUUUUAGUAGUGCUCCAUUGUUUUUUUAAAGGCAAAUUCCUCAUAGAUGAUUGUCAUAUUUCCUGUAUGUAUGAUCUAGUACGUGGUGAUUUCAGUAUGCGAUUCUGUUGUUCAAUUCGUGCUCGGAACGGCAAGGAUUUUGUGCUCCGAACAGCAAAGGAUUUUCUCUUUUAUUCAUAGAAGAUUGUCAGAAGACUAGAACAUGGCACAAGUGAACUAUUAUCAGACUAUAAAAACGCAAGUGAUGAUUUUGCCAAUGCUUUC
rnacentral:rRNA from 1 species